GAUGAACGCUGGCGGCGUGCUUAACACAUGCAAGUCGAACGAUGAAGCCCAGCUUGCUGGGUGGAUUAGUGGCGAACGGGUGAGUAACACGUGAGUAACCUGCCCUUAACUCUGGGAUAAGCCUGGGAAACUGGGUCUAAUACCGGAUAGGAGCGUCCACCGCAUGGUGGGUGUUGGAAAGAUUUAUCGGUUUUGGAUGGACUCGCGGCCUAUCAGCUUGUUGGUGAGGAAAUGGCUCACCAAGGCGACGACGGGUAGCCGGCCUGAGAGGGUGACCGGCCACACUGGGACUGAGACACGGCCCAGACUCCUACGGGAGGCAGCAGUGGGGAAUAUUGCACAAUGGGCGCAAGCCUGAUGCAGCGACGCCGCGUGAGGGAUGACGGCCUUCGGGUUGUAAACCUCUUUCAGUAGGGAAGAAGCGAAAGUGACGGUACCUGCAGAAGAAGCACCGGCUAACUACGUG
rnacentral:rRNA from 1 species